GUGCUUGCUUCGGAGCACAUAUACUAAAAUUAGAACAAUAUAGAGAAGAUUAGCAUGGCCUCUGCUCAAGGAUGACAUGCAAAUUCGUGAAGCAUUCCAUAUUUUU
rnacentral:snRNA from 1 species